UACAGAGGGGGCAAGCGUUGUUCGGAAUUACUGGGCGUAAAGGGCGCGUAGGCGGCCUUCUAAGUCGAACGUGAAAUCCCUGGGCUCAACCCAGGAACUGCGUCCGAUACUGGAAGGCUUGAAUCCGGGAGAGGGAUGCGGAAUUCCAGGUGUAGCGGUGAAAUGCGUAGAUAUCUGGAGGAACACCGGUGGCGAAGGCGGCAUCCUGGACCGGUAUUGACGCUGAGACGCGAAAGCGUGGGGAGCGAACAGG
rnacentral:rRNA from 1 species